UAUGAAGUGCCAGAGUUGUAUGGGACGUCUUGAUAAGACGUAGACGUAUUUAAAUACCUUCAUAU
rnacentral:tRNA from 1 species